rnacentral:rRNA from 1 species
CGUGCAGGCGGUCGGGUAAGUCAGAUAUGAAAGCCUUUCGCUUAACGAGAGAAGUGCAUUUGAAACUGCUCGGCUAGAGUACGGGAGAGGAGAGUGGAAUUCCCGGUGUAGAGGUGAAAUUCGUAGAUAUCGGGAGGAACACCAGUGGCGAAGGCGGCUCUCUGGUCCGAUACUGACGCUGAGACGCGAAAGCGUGGGGAGCAAACAGGAUUAGAUACCCUGGUAGUCCACGCCGUAAACGAUGGGCACUAGGUGUAGGAGGUAUUGACCCCUUCUGUGCCGAAGCUAACGCAUUAAGUGCCCCGCCUGGGGAGUACGGCCGCAAGGCUAAA